UACGAAGGGGGCUAGCGUUGUUCGGAAUUACUGGGCGUAAAGGGCGCGUAGGCGGCGUGUCAAGUCAGGCGUGAAAGCCCCGGGCUCAACCUGGGAACCGCGCUUGAGACUGGCAUGCUCGAGUUCGGGAGAGGAUGGUGGAAUUCCCAGUGUAGAGGUGAAAUUCGUAGAUAUUCGGCGGAACACCAGUGGCGAAGGCGACUCACUGGCCCGAUACUGACGCUGAGGCGCGAAAGCGUGGGGAGCAAACAGG
rnacentral:rRNA from 1 species